GACGAAGGUGGCGAGCGUUGUUCGGAAUCGCUGGGCAUAAAGCGCACGUAGGCGGCGGCGUAAGUCGGAUGUGGAAUCCCUCGGCCCAACCGAGGAACUGCGUCCGAUACUGCGUCGCUUGAGGAUCAGAGGGGUGCACGGAAUUUCCGGUGGAGCGGUGAAAUGCGUUGAUAUCGGAAGGAACGUCGGCGGCGAAAGCGGUGCACUGGCUGAUUUCUGACGCUGAGGUGCGAAAGCCAGGGGAGCAAACGGG
rnacentral:rRNA from 1 species